CCUACGGGAGGCAGCAGUGGGGAAUUUUGGACAAUGGGCGCAAGCCUGAUCCAGCCAUGCCGCGUGCGGGAAGAAGGGCUUCGGGUUGUAAACCGCUUUUGUCAGGGAAGAAACGGUCUGCACUAAUACUGCGGACUAAUGACGGUACCUGAAGAAUAAGCACCGGCUAACUACGUGCCAGCAGCCGCGGUAAU
rnacentral:rRNA from 1 species